rnacentral:tRNA from 1 species
GAGGCCGCAUGAAACGGCAAUUCCUAGAUCGGAUUGCAAAUCCGUCUACGCCGGUUCGAUUCCGACCUCGGCCUCC